AGCAUCAGUGAAUGAACUUGUCAACAUAAGAACUUACCUGAAGUUCAGAGAUCAAGUGUAAACC
rnacentral:snoRNA from 1 species